rnacentral:lncRNA from 1 species
ACACACACACACACACACACACACACACACACACACACACACACACACACCAUGUGCCCUUCAAAGCAGAAGUCCUAUUCACACUGCCUCCAAGUCUGUUGGCUUCCUGCCCUCCACAUCCCUCUCUUGUGUUACUGCCCAUUUAACGCUGGCUUUCUUCCAUGGGUUACCUAGGACACAAUCAUUUAUAGCCCCCAAAGCACCCUUCACCCCUUUAAGUGUGUAUUUUAACCAAAUGAAGUUGACAAGAAAGGCAUAUGUUGGGGCUGCAGGAUUCCUAGUGUAGUAGAAGCAUUGUAUAGAUAGAGAUGUUGAUAUAUAUGUUUGUGUAUAUAUAUAUCAAGCCAAAUUUCUGAUAGAAAAGUAUAGCUUUAUGGAUGAGAAGGAAAAGGAGCCCUCUAGAGGUUGGAGCCAGCCUCGAUGUGUCCAAUGAGCAAGACACGCCGUGCUUCACGCGCAGCUAAGGCCCCAGGACCCGGCCCUGGCCUCACCUCUGCAAAGCUGGGGGGCCCCGAAGGCUCUGCUGCUCUCUGUGGGUCCCCAGCAAUGAAGGCAUAGGAGAGUGAGGAGACAGAGAUCAUAAGGACUGGAAUUUUUCAUCCCUUUUUGCUCUGGCCACCUGUUUUGAGCUACAGCCUGAUUAUAUCACAUUUCCAAAAAGUAGUACCAUGAAGAUGGCGAGAGAGAUCUGUCACAAUGCUUAGCUUUCGACUGCCUGUGGCUUCAGGAUGCUCAGGACAGAAAGACACACUCCCCAAAACAAGAACAUGGAGAAGGAGACCUGGCAGUACCCAUCCCCAAGGCCAAGGAAUGAGGCUCCCUCCCCCAGGUCAUCUCACCUAGAUCUUUCUCCCCCAGGUCAUCUCAGCUCAGUCUUGAUAGCCUCUGGAAAGCCCUGGCCUGUCGUGUUCCUUCACUGUGUGGUUUCUGUAAUAAAGUGUUAAUCCAUGUUAACCUGUGUGGGGAUUAUCGCGUGCAACAGUAUUUUCUCGUGUACCUCUUUCUCCUCUGUGACGUGUCCCUCUUUUUUUUAUUUAUAAAUGUCUAAUUUGGUUUUUUUUUUUUAAGGACAAACCAGUGUGUCGUAGACCUCUAUGUAACCUGCUCCUUAGUCUCAUUAUAGGUAUGUUAUAAGGAUGGAUAUUUUACUUGGCUUUAGAAUGUUUUUCAAGAAAACUAAUUCUUAACUGAUGAAGUUGUUGCUACUAAAAUGCUUGUUUUCAUCAUGACGUCGUGCGCUUCUAAAUUAAUCAUCAUUUUCGUUGUAGAAAAAUGGAGUGAAUUUAUAUUAGUCUUGGAAACUAAUAAUAGCAUUGUAAAUUUAUGAGAUGAUUUUAACAGAAAAAUUAUAGAAGAAUAUAGUUAUUUUAAUUGUAAUAUUACUAACUGUAGGGUGAGGCGGGGUCCUGUUGUGGUGAACUGUUAUAGCUUGUUACUCAGUUUCUUUUUGAUCAUUUUCUCGGUCUCUGAGGUGAAGCGAGUUAUUAAUUGAAUCUGUAAACUCACAUAUGCAUAUUGUAUAUGUGUAGCGAUGUGAUCACACUGUCUUGGAAUUACAUUAAACUGUUUGGAAUCACUGAA